GACGAACGCUGGCGGCGUGCUUAACACAUGCCAGUCGAACGGAAAGGCCCUGCUUUUGUGGGGUGCUCGAGUGGCGAACGGGUGAGUAACACGUGAGUAACCUGCCCUUGACUUUGGGAUAACUUCAGGAAACUGGGGCUAAUACCGGAUAGGAGCUCCUGCUGCAUGGUGGGGGUUGGAAAGUUUCGGCGGUUGGGGAUGGACUCGCGGCUUAUCAGCUUGUUGGUGGGGUAGUGGCUUACCAAGGCUUUGACGGGUAGCCGGCCUGAGAGGGGGACCGGCCACAAUGGGACUGAGAGACGGAGCAGACGCCUACGGGAGGCAGCAGGGGGGAAUAUUGCACAAUGGGCGGAAGCCUGAUGCAGCAACGCCGCGUGCGGGAUGACGGCCUUCGGGUUGUAAACCGCUGUCGCCGGUGACGAAGCGUGAGUGACGGUAAUGGGUAAAGAAGCACCGGCUAACUACGUG
rnacentral:rRNA from 1 species